GGACCCGCACAAGCGGUGGAUGAUGUGGAUUAAUUCGAUGCAACGCGAAAAACCUUACCUACCCUUGACAUGGAAGGAAUCCCUGAGAGAUUGGGGAGUGCUCGAAAGAGAACCUUUACACAGGUGCUGCAUGGCUGUCGUCAGCUCGUGUCGUGAGAUGUUGGGUUAAGUCCCGCAACGAGCGCAACCCUUGUCAUUAGUUGCUACGCAAGAGCACUCUAAUGAGACUGCCGGUGACAAACCGGAGGAAGGUGGGGAUGACGUCAAGUCCUCAUGGCCCUUAUGGGUAGGGCUUCACACGUCAUACAAUGGUACAUACAGAGGGCCGCCAACCCGCGAGGGGGAGCUAAUCCCAGAAAGUGUAUCGUAGUCCGGAUUGUAGUCUGCAACUCGACUACAUGAAGUUGGAAUCGCUAGUAAUCGCGGAUCAGCAUGUCGCGGUGAAUACGUUCCCGGGUCUU
rnacentral:rRNA from 1 species